rnacentral:rRNA from 1 species
GCCAGACUCCUACGGGAGGCAGCAGUGGGGAAUAUUGCACAAUGGGGGAAACCCUGAUGCAGCAACGCCGCGUGAGUGAAGAAGUAUUUCGGUAUGUAAAGCUCUAUCAGCAGGGAAGAAGAUGACGGUACCUGACCAAGAAGCCCCGGCUAACUACGUGCCAGCAGCCGCGGUAAUACGUAGGGGGCAAGCGUUAUCCGGAUUUACUGGGUGUAAAGGGAGCGCAGACGGCAGUGCAAGUCUGGAGUGAAAGCCCGGGGCCCAACCCCGGAACUGCUUUGGAAACUGUGCAGCUAGAGUGCAGGAGAGGUAAGUGGAAUUCCUAGUGUAGCGGUGAAAUGCGUAGAUAUUAGGAGGGACACCAGUGGCGAAGGCGGCUUACUGGACUGUAACUGACGUUGAGGCUCGAAAGCGUGGGGAGCAAACAGGAUUAGAUACCCGAGUAC